rnacentral:rRNA from 1 species
UAGGGAAUCUUCGGCAAUGGACGACAGUCUGACCGAGCAACGCCGCGUGAGUGAAGAAGGUUUUCGGAUCGUAAAACUCUGUUGUUAGAGAAGAACAAGGACGUUAGUAACUGAACGUCCCCUGACGGUAUCUAACCAGAAAGCCACGGCUAACUACGUGCCAGCAGCCGCGGUAAUACGUAGGUGGCAAGCGUUGUCCGGAUUUAUUGGGCGUAAAGCGAGCGCAGGCGGUUUCUUAAGUCUGAUGUGAAAGCCCCCGGCUCAACCGGGGAGGGUCAUUGGAAACUGGGAGACUUGAGUGCAGAAGAGGAGAGUGGAAUUCCAUGUGUAGCGGUGAAAUGCGUAGAUAUAUGGAGGAACACCAGUGGCGAAGGCGGCUCUCUGGUCUGUAACUGACGCUGAGGCUCGAAAGCGUGGGGAGCAAACAGG